CUCUCAGUGAAAAAGUAUCUUCGGAGUUUGUGAAAAUCUCUAGAAUGGAUAACCUCAUCCAAAUCUCCACUGACAGACUGAAGCAGACGGACGUGCGACUACCCAUUUCCUAACUUGGUUUUUCCCUCAACUGUCAUAGGAGUACUAGUUAUGAUGCAGUCGUUUUCCUCCCUGAAUCAAGUUGCUUCGAUCAUUGCUUCCCUUAAACCACACUGUCUUCAAAUGAGGAAUUUACACCAUUAUUACUAAGAAUAGCAAAGUACUUAGGGGAGACCGACAUCGGAUGGGAAAGUUUUGCGGUCUUGAAGCUAAAAUCCAACUCUGGCUGCUACUUUUUUCCUUUUUUUCUCAGCAAAGGAACUUUGAGACUUGAGAAGCUCACUCUGGAAUUUUGUGCUGUAUCUGUAGCAAGGACUCCCCCUCCCCAAACACCAAGGAUCUAGAUUAAGUGCUAAGUCUCUUGGUCCGAUCAAGCCCCAGUCUCCUUCUCUUCCUCCCUCUCACCCGCAAUAAGAGGAAGAAUCCACGCCAGGCUCGCGCUUGACUCUAAACCCAAUAUCUCCCUACAGCUGGUGCAUUGGAAGUUAUGAGCACAAACAGAUGCUGCAGAGAAAUCUGUUUCUAUUGCUCAACUCUUCCAAGCGUGUCUCAGUAUUUUUAGCUCUGAGGAUGUUCUGGUGCGCACACAAACUAUAUAGGCAAUGAGCCGGGACUCCAAAGCUUGCGGGAGGAAAGCAUUAACAGCAGCCUGACAACUGGGCACCUCCGGAGCAGCCGGAGCUGUAGGGUAGAGGACUGUGGAGCAAGUUCAUUGCCCUGGACACACACAGACAACCCAGAAGAGAACAGGAAGAAAACACAGAAGCCCUUACCUGUUGCUGGUACAGGAUCAUGGGGACAUGGAGUGGAAGUGGGGAUUACAGAAGCAUGUAAGAUCCAGUGGUUUUUGUGAAAGAGAAUGAGCCGAAGCAAGUGAGAAUUCCCAAGACACUGCUUGCCGGUGCUGGGAAGGCUGCGCGCUGGCCAGGGCUCCAGUGCGCUCUGCGAUAGCCUGGAGGCGGUCCUUGUGAUAACCGGCCUUGUUGGCUCCGCCCUCUGCCCACUGUUGGCCAAUCGGAGCGCACGUGGCUGCGCUUCCCCCGCCCCGGGAACCGCCAUCAGGAGGAGGAGGAGGAGGAUCUCUACACCCGCGGACCCUGGCUCUGCCAGCCUCGGAACCUGCUGUGGCUUCCUCUACCUCCUCCAGCUGCCUAGCCUGGUCUGAGAGUCCAGCUCUGGGCUGAGGAGGAGGAAGUCGCGGCCCAGAGGGUACAGCAACAGUGGAGGCCGGCUGUACGUGUUCCUGUAUAAGGGCCCGAGAGGUGUCAGUGCCUGGGAAAGACGUCUACAGCAGGGAGGGAAUAAAUAACCACUGGGGUGCGUCUCCCUCCAGCCCUUUUCCAGCCUGUAGACUGUGGAAACCCACAGAGCACUCAACUGCAGCUUGCGGAUAAUCCUUAAAUUAAACCUGGAAAGGGUCCCGGGACCCGCACUCAAUACCCUGCAAAAUUUAGAUGUGCUAGCGAUUGCUUGUCUGACUGGGCCGUUUCUCCUCGCAAAUGAUGGUGAAUUACUUACAAAAAAAAAAAAAAGAAAAAAAAUGCGCCUAGACUUCUCUGGGAUGUGUGGGGGAAGGGAGGGAGCCGCUGGUUCCUUUCGCCUUGUCCGCCCUCGCCCUCGAUCUUUCUCUCCACCACCGCCCGGCAAGCUCUGCUCAUGUAAAACCAGAACAAUUAGAGAGUAAUGAAUUCUCUGGAACAGCAACUCCUACAGACUCUCAGCUCUGCCCUCGCUCCAGCGCCUCCCCGUCCUCCUUCCCAGCAACCAGGCAAGAGUACUGCAGACCUUCAAAAACCAGCCUCGGUUAGCACCUGCAUCCUGACAAUUUAUAAAUGAAUUCUCCACUGAGUGUGUAAAGCAGGUGCAUGUUAUCUCUGAGUACAUUGGUAUCGUAGCGAAGCUUUGCUUUUAAAAUGACAUGAUGCGUUUAGGAGUCUUUUAUCUUCCACGGAGUUUUGCAGUCCGGUUUAAUGAAUAUGCUUCAAGCACCCCAAAGCAUCUGCCUACCUUUAACUUAAGCCCGUAAAGACUGCCUUGAGUCACCAAACAACCUCUACAAAAUAUUUCGCGUUCUAGGUGGUAGGAGCAGGGCACACUUUUAUGUGUACGAGUGUUGAAAGGAGCCGUUCUGAGCUGCUGAGUGGAUACCCACCUCCUAGUCCCACAUCCGCACUUGGCCCCUAGGAGGUGCUGGUGAAAUGUGCAUAGAUUUUCAUUUUACCUUAAGAAGCCUGCCUCUUUUCCUAGCAUGAGCAAUACACUUAAGAGGGUGCAGAAUGGAUCAUGAAAGCCCUGGGACUCUUUUGAUAUCCAAAUGGCAUUUCAUUUGCUGAGGCUGAAUCCCCAUCAAGCCCCAAUACUGAGGGUUGCCAUUUAAGCCCUUGUAUAAUGGGAUAUUUUUUCCCACAAGGAAAGUCUUCUUUAUCAUAUAUUAAGUCAUAUAUUAUUUAUAAAUAGCUUGGGUUAAAU